CUACGGAGGGUGCAAGCGUUGUUCGGAAUUAUUGGGCGUAAAGGGCGCGUAGGCGGGUUUUUAAGUCUGGUGUGAAAUCCCUCGGCUCAACCGGGGACGUGCAUUGGAUACUGAAAACCUUGAGUCCUGGAGAGGAAAGCGGAAUUCCCAGUGUAGAGGUGAAAUUCGUAGAUAUUGGGAGGAACACCGGCGGCGAAGGCGGCUUUCUGGACAGUGACUGACGCUGAGGCGCGAAAGCGUGGGUAGCAAACAGGAUUAGAUACCCUGGUAGUCCACGCCGUAAACGAUGGGUACUAGUUGGUGCGGGUAUUGACCCCUGCGCUGACGCAGCUAACGCAUUAAGUACCCCGCCUGGGGAGUACGGCCGCAAGGCUAAAACUCAAAUGAAUUGACGGGGGCCCGCACAAGCGGUGGAGCAUGUGGUUUAAUUCGAUGCAACGCGAAGAACCUUACCUACUCUUGACAUACUAGAAACUUUUCAGAGAUGAAUUGGUGCCUUCGGGAAUCUAGAUACAGGUGCUGCAUGGC
rnacentral:rRNA from 1 species